rnacentral:rRNA from 1 species
UACGGAGGGUGCGAGCGUUGUCCGGAAUCAUUGGGCGUAAAGGGCGCGUAGGUGGCCCGGUCAGCGUGCGGUGAAAGCUCGGGGCUCAACCCCGAGUCGGCCGUGCGAACUGCUGGGCUUGAGCACUGUAGAGGCAGGCGGAAUUCCGGGUGUAGCGGUGGAAUGCGUAGAGAUCCGGAAGAACACCGGUGGCGAAGGCGGCCUGCUGGGCAGUGGCUGACACUGAGGCGCGACAGCGUGGGGAGCGAACAGG